AUCACAGGGCCAGGGAUUUAGCCCAGUGGUGCCACCGCCUGCCCUGCAAGCACAAGGACCCAAGUUUGAUCCCCAGUACCAAAAAAAAAAAGUUAAGUAAAAUUUAAUCACAGAUUAUAAAACAUUUGAUUCCAAUUUGUUGCAGUUAUAAUUGUUAUUGAUGCUCACAUUAUCCCAUCUCUAGCCAGGAGCAACCUCUAAGGCAGCCCCAGGCUCCUCUUGAACCAUCCCAAGUCCCUGACAGUUUGCUUUCUGGCUAUUACUAUGUUCCAGGCUCAUUUUAUACAUUUCCUGCAGAUUCUCAGCACUAUUUCUCCAAGGCGCUCUGGUUCCUUUUAGUAGGACCUGACAGACUGUAGUCUGGCAUUAUCAAGUAAUUGCCUUUCUCCUGGCUCCUUCCCUAUUUUUUUUUUUUUUUUGGUACCGGGGAUUGAACUCGGUUCCUUGCACUUGCGCAGCAGGCGGCAAAACCACUGAGCUAAAUCCCCCGGCCAGCCCUCCUUCCCUAUUCUGCAGUCACCAGUGUGUAUGACCCAAAUCUCAUCACUCCCUUGCCCGAGGUCCUUCAAGGCCCUGUGUCACCCUUAGCACCACAUCCCUCAGUAGCUGUUCACCAACUGACCCCUCCUUCCAUUUCCUAUUAGUCUCAACCCAGCAAAACUUAGCAUUUGCAAAUUUGUGUCCCCCACUCUGGGUCAUGCUCCUUGUUUCAGGCUAAUUCCUCAGCCAGAAACCUCCAGUCCCACUGCCUUCCCUAAUUUCAUCUCUUUGACCCAACUUUAUCGUAGCUCAGGUAUCAUCUGCAGAGUGCUUUUUGUGGCCCACUAGGCCAGGAUGCACCCUCUGUGCUGUUAUCUCAGGCUACUGUCCUUGACCCCUGCUCACUUGUAGCUACCAAGCAGGAACUUUGUCAACCAUCUUGUCCCCACCACACGAUCACUGUGUUAGGUGGGAGAAGAUACUGGCUCUUUUCCACUGUGGAGUAGGGUGAAGCUGUUACCCUCUUCAGCAGUUACAGCCACAGGCACUAUAUAGGUCAGGAUGGAAAGGAUGACACCAAUUCAGGACCCACCUAGGCAAAUGAUGAGGAGCAGGGGCCUGGAGACUGAUUAGAUUCUUCCUGGAUAGAGAUCUGCUGCUGCUGCUUGCCGUGAAGGAACUGGUCUUAUGUAGUAAAUCUUAGGUUCUGGAACAGUAUCUUCUUAGGUUAUUGGGACUACUAAACAAAGUCAAUCUCACUUUGCACAGUGCGACAUUUAUAAGCAUUCAAAACAUGUGCCUUGUGCCUGCCCCAAGAACAAGGAUAAAACUGGGCUUUAAAGUCUUUUAAUACAAGCCUUCCCUCAAAGUCAACAAAAGAGAAAAAACAGCUAAAGUUAUACUUUCCAAGUUGAGGGGAAAAUGGUUCUCCUUGGUUGGCACAGGGACAUGUAGAGGUCGAACAGGUCAACUCGGAGAAACCUGGAAAACCAGUCAGAAGAACAAAUCCCAACAGGAAGGUCUUUGUCUGUAAUGAUCCUGGCAACUGGAAGGCAAAUGUGCCAGAGCUGAAUCACCUGAUAGUAGGGCUGACUGGCUUAUAGUCUCACAUGUAAACUCUACAAGGAUGAUUUUUAUUCACUGAUGCACCUAAAAUAGAGCCUGGCCAUAGUUGAAAAACAUUUGCAGAACAAGUGGUAUGAUCUGCCUUUCUUCCACCGGCAUCCCCAAAUUCCAAAUCUGACCACACCCCUGAGCCACCUGCAUGUGCCGCUACAGAAGACAACCUGGAGUGGUGGUGACUAUGGUGCGUGUGCCACAGGAGGCUGCAUCAUUCAACCCUCUCAAAGUUUCGCCAUCACUGCCCUAGAGUAAAGGUGGGGAGACUGGAAGGCGGCUCGGGGCGGUACGGAACGGAGAACAAGCCCAACCUUUCCAUGUACUGGGGCGGAGUGGGGACCUUGUUUCUGUCUACGUCUAGAGCAGACCCAGAUUCCAGUCCCACUCGCAGCCCACUAGCAAGCCCCAUACCCAGCGGUGUCCUUGAUUGAUCACACACAAACAUCAGGAAAGGUUAAGGAAUUUUCUUUAUUUUUUACAAAUUAAGUCUAUGUAGAUAUAUAUUUUUGAAUCAAAAACACCUUUGUCUUCACAGUAUGAGUUAGAGAAUGCAGCCUGAGCUGAAACCAAGGAACUAGAAAAGAAAG
ensembl:lncRNA